rnacentral:rRNA from 1 species
CCUACGGGAGGCCGCAGUGGGGAAUAUUGCACAAUGGGGGAAACCCUGAUGCAGCGACGCCGCGUGCGUGAAGAAGUAAUUCGUUAUGUAAAGCUCUAUCAGCAGGGAAGAAAAUGACGGUGCCUGAGUAAGAAGCCCCGGCUAACUACGUGCCAGCAGCCGCGGUAAUACGUAGGGGGCAAGCGUUAUCCGGAUUUACUGGGUGUAAAGGGAGCGUAGACGGCAGUGCAAGUCUGGAGUGAAAGGGGGGGGCUCAACCCCCGGACUGCUCUGGAAACUGUACGGCUGGAGUGCAGGAGAGGUAAGUGGAAUUCCUAGUGUAGCGGUGAAAUGCGUAGAUAUUAGGAGGAACACCAGUGGCGAAGGCGGCUUACUGGACUGUAACUGACGUUGAGGCUCGAAAGCGUGGGGAGCAAACAGGAUUAGAUACCCGAGUAGUC